CUUUUUUUUUUUUUUUUCACAUGAGUCUUAAGGACAAAUCAACAUAUCAAAUGUAUGAGCAGCAAUGGUAAACAGUCAUUGAUGUUAACUCUAUAUGUCUCAGCUCUGCACUGCCAUAAUGAAGAUCCAGUUGUAUUUGUGUUUGCUGUACAAGCUAGCUUCAGGAUUUCAACUUGCCAAACUUUUUACUCUAUAAAAAUUCUCAGGCAAAACUAUAGGCUAUAAUUUGUUACAAUGGAAUUGGGUGGUGACUACAUUUUGGUAUUUUCACUAGUUCAAUCUGAUGAGCCAAUCUUCAAUGAUAGGUAGGAAAUCUUUGGAUCUCAGGAAAUCAAGUAGAAAUCAAAGACUAUCACGCUAUUUGUUGAGCAAUAUUACACUUAAAUAGUUCAAAUUCAUUUAUAGAUUCAUAAAAGUAGAACCAAUAUAAAGCUUGAUAUGAAAUGAAUGGACCCUGAUAGGUCGUCUUCUCUUCUCUAUAACUUAGUUUUUCAUAUCAAAACAUUUAGUAGUUGAAAUGGAAUCCUAAUUAUAUCCCCUACAUAUUUACAUGUAUCUGUAGAAACUUGAGGAAACAAGAAGCUAAUGAAUUUUUUAAAUAAAAAAAUCUUCCUGUUUACACUUCUCUUACAACCUUAACAUAGUAGACCAAGUGACAAGUAGUCUAUACUAUACUAGUAUAUGUAUUAGAGAUUUGACUUUGAUCACAUUGUCUUAACUCAAAAUGAUGGCAGGAUACCUUUAGAGUUGCAGAUAAUUUCAUUCAGAAAUUUGAAACUUUUUUUUUGUCCAAUUGGAAAUUCUUUUUUGGACAAGCUGUCAAAGUUUCUCUCAUUAAGGUCAAAAUGUUUAAUUUUUUAACUGUCUGGCUGCUAUCUGUUCUCCCCUUCACAUUUCAUGUUGGGUAAAGAUUUACAUGACUUGUUAGAAUGAGGACAUUGUGUACAUUUCUGUAAGAGAAUCAAACCAAAGACAGGUGAGUGGAAGUGUGGUUAUUGAUUGCAACGCUGCUCAAAACUUUUGAAGUAAAAAUGUCAAGUGGUAAUAGCAAGAAAUUUGAUGUCCAUGAUUCUCUUCUUAACCUGAUGUACAAACCAAAAUUAAUGUAUAGACGAAUCUAUUCACUUAUCAAAUAUAAUGUUGAUAUAUUUUGAUUUUUAAAACGUGACAAUUGACCCCUACAUUUAGCCACCAAGUGGAAUAGAUUGCCUUCUCUGUGCUUCUAGUAGUCUGAGACUUUUGAUUGAGCAGCACAUUGUUGGUAUCCUUGGCUUUUAACUUUGACUCCUGAGUCCCUUGAAUGCUUGUGUUACAGCGGACAUAGACUACCAUCGUCAAGACAUGAUAUUCAUGUUUGGAUUAUAUGCCAUUGUUGUUUUAGGAAGACAUUUUGCCAGAGUAACUCCAGGGAUUUGGACAUUUUGUAUUGUACGUGUUGAAAUGAUUUGCAGUUAAGAUUUGAACUAUUCAAAUAAACUUACUGUCAGUUCAAUAGCCUCAUUCAAUAUUUUUGAAACAGUAAAACUUGGAUUAAAAUGUAACAUUCAAAAUGUUAAGUUUCCUAAUCUGUUCAUUGAUUAGCCUUUAAACCUAAACUUAGCUGUUCAAUCUUGUAGGGCUGAGGCCCUCAUUCUAAGUAGUUGACCUCCCCUUUUAGAAUCAUCAUAACGUUCGA